ACCAGUGACACCUCCCUAGUACAGAUGGGUGACCAGUCACAUUAGAGGGAACUGAUCCCCAUCUCUCCUCUUCCCUGCCUCCCUCCAACCUAGAGCAACUUGACCUGUGAAAGGGAAGAUGAAGAAAGAAAGGGCAGGCCACAUACAUGUCCUCCCGAAGCCUACCUUUGCCAAGGAGAAAGGGAAGUGACUUUUGAAGCACAAAAAUGUUCCACUUCGAUGAAGUCCAGCUACGACGGGGGCUGGGGCUCCCUUCUCCGAGUCCCACACAGAGAGGGAGAGAAGUGAACCGAAGGCAUAUUCUACCCCAGCUGGAGCUGACCUGCAGAUGCAGCCCUUCCUCCCCAUUUGGAGCUGCCUAUUAUCAUGGAAAGAUUAACAACUUGGCUACAGAAACCAGAAUCGCCAGCCCUUUGAAGAUCCCCAGCCCCUUUGCAUACCUGUAGGCCUUUGCAGACCUCCAGCCUGCUUACCUGUUAAUUGCCCAUAUGGCACUCCCUUUGGCUAUUUCCCCAUGUAACCCCAGCCCUUGCAUAUCACUAAGCCCUUUGAAGACCCCUAGUUCUUUUGGAUAUCUGUAAACUGUCCUUUUGCCUACUGUUCCUUUGUACUUUUCCUAUAUAAGCAGCUGGCUUAUC